UUAGCAGGCAUUGAAGACGAUAAAGACACUGAUCCAGGUGUUUGCAAUGGACUUGUGCAACGGAUUUUGGCCGAGAGAAGACCUCAUGAAUAAUGCCACAUCCACAUGAUGCUGCAGCCCACAGAUUUAAUCAUUAGCUACCAGUUGGGAAAUGUUGCCAGACCUGUUCCUUGCUGCAGCAUUAUAAAAGCCUAUUCUAGUCAUGAUGACAUUAGGGGACUUCAAACAAGUAAGGAAACCUUAUAAGCCCACAAUAUGCUUAAAAGAGUUCUGAAGGCAGAGAGAAGCAAAUUGCAAGUGAAAACAUCAUUUCUCCAAGGCCAUCUUCUUGCCUGUAAGCCAUUUGGGUGAUUCCUGUGAAGACCAGGAACCCAGUCCAGACGCAACUAGUACACUCAAACUGGCCUGAAUGGUCUCAUGGACACAUCCUGACAGUUAGCAUCCUGCCUUCUACAGUGGCCAGGAUGCUUCCAGGAAGCCUACCACACAGGCAUGAAGACAGCUCUUCCAGGGUUGUUCUGGUCACCUCAGUUUUGCAGCAGGAACGUCUGAUCCAUGUGUAGUGCUUCAGUUGAGCAGAAGGUGCUUAUCUCUGCCUCUCCUUUGAAGACCAAGACUGGGUUUCAUCCUAACAUUAAACACCCUUGCUUGAUGACUGACAGAUGGGUCAUGUGCUGUUGUGUGUUGUUCAGCAGCAGUGGUGCAUCACACAGGGUUGGGUGUUGGGCUUCUGGAACCAUGGCUUCUGAAUUUUGUCCAGCCUCCCUGGGGCAGAAGCUAUCCAUUUGAUGCCUGCCACCAUCAACAUCAAAAGGGACGUG